rnacentral:misc_RNA from 1 species
ACGCGGCGGCGGAGAUCGUCCCGUGCCGUCAGCCCGAGGCGGUGCCGUAUUCCUCGUGGACACGGACCAGCGGCGGUUGGACCGGAGCCAAAAGGCGACAGCGGAAGGUGAGUUGAUGCGGGCCUGCCUGCAUUGACAGCUUAUAGCCCUGCCGUGUGGCGCUCCGGUGCGACCGAGGAAGUUGGGCAGCCCUUGCCCGUCGUGGUACACGCCGAACGGCGGGGCCUCUCGACACGAGUUAACCGUGCGGGGUGGACUGCAUGCAGUGCUCACCGUGGCGGUGAUCUCGUGUCGGUGAGUGCCACUUGUGUGCCAGUGCUGCUGGUAUUCAGAU